rnacentral:tRNA from 1 species
GCGCCCGUAGCUCAGUCGGAUAGAGCACCUGCCUUCUAAGCAGGGGGUCACAGGUUCGAAUCCUGUCGGGCGCGCCA